CAUCUAUUGGACCUGGGUUGAUACAGAGAAGAUUAGCACAGCCUCUGCGCAAGGAUAACACACACAUUAGGAAAGCUGAAACUUUU
rnacentral:snRNA from 1 species